GGGGGUGCCUAGCUUCGAUGAGUUGAGGCGUUAAGAGGCGCAGUUCAAGGAUGUUUGGUGUCCUUGUAAAAUUUUCCAAACAGUUCCAAGUGCAAACUAUCAACCAGCACUCGCUUACGCUUAAUUGCUUAAGCCAUCCGACUUUCUGAUGUCUCAUAGGAAAGCGCGGGUGUGAAAUUUUGAGGCUCAAUGCCGAAGAGCUCCGAUUCGGCACAACAUUUAAGGAGCGACUUUUGCGGCACUUUCGUUUCGCUUAUAGCCGCAAUCGAAACCAAGCGAAACUAAAACUGUAGAAACUUCUUAAUAAAUCAAUUCAAACGGGAGUGCGAUUCUCCCCACCUCCACUG
rnacentral:tmRNA from 3 species